rnacentral:lncRNA from 1 species
AAGAUCGUUGAGGAGUAAACGCGUAUUCCGGGUUUGUAUUACUAUAACUUAAUCUAUUUAAUAAAUGCUAUAUUGAAAUUGUAUUCAUGAGACAUUUAAAGGAAGGUAAGUAUUAACAUUUGAAAUUAAGUAAGAAUAUGUGUAUAUUGAAUUAUAUGUGAAUUGAAAUAAUAGAUGUUUUGUAUUGAUUGAAUAUUUGAAAUUGUUGUGGAAAUGAAUUCGAAAUAGGAAAAGUAAAAUAAUACCCUAUUAACUUAUCGGACUAGAUUGGAUACAAAUGGCAUGCCAUAGGAUUUGUGAUGUGAUGAGGAGAUUUGUAGUUCGGUCGAGAAGAUGACUGUGUUAUUAAAUGCUUCGGUUUAUCCGAAGAGGCAUUAAAUGCCUUAUUGGUGUGUUUGGGAGGUUAUGAUAUACUGGUGUGUUAUGAAGGAUUUAAAUUAUUUCGGGUGUGUUUAGGUUGGAUAUUUUGGUGUGUUUGGGUGGAAUCCGCGUAUCUGUCAGAGUCCGAGCCUUGUUAAUAGGGUAAAUAAUUGAAAUGGAAAUUUGAAAAUGAGAUUAGUUGAUUUGACACUAUUGAAAAAUAUGAGAAAGAAUGUAUGAUAUAAAUUAUGAAUUGAUUUAGUAUGUAAAUAUUUAAAUAUAUAAAUUUCAGAUUUAUGGAAUGAUAUAUGAAUAUUUAUAUUUAGUUUAAAGUGAUUUUUUUUAAAGACUAUGGUCAAUAUUUGAAAUUUUAUUAUUAUUAAAUAGUUUAAUUUAUAGUAAUACCACUGAGUAUAAAAUACUCAGCGUACGGUUGUUUUCGUGCGUAGGUUGAAAAGGGGUUAGUGUCUCGGUUCAGCAUCCAGGACAAUCCCGACUCCGACAUAAAGAUUUUGGUGAUGUUUUCUUCCUUUAAGAGAAAGUGGCAUGUACAUAGGAUUUAUAAUAGUUAUUUUGGCAUGUUAUAUAGUUUUGUUGUAAAGUAAGAUAUUAUGUGUUUUGAUGAUUAUAUUAGAAAAAUGGUAUAAGUUUUUUUUAGCAUUGGUAUCAAGUUGAAAUGGCUUAGUUAGUUUUAUGUGUUAAUUAGAAAUGAUAAUAGGAUUUUAUUUACUUAAGUUGUUAUGUCUAUAUGUCAAGUAGGAUUAAGUAUAUAAAUGCCUUGGUUGAAAUACUGAAAUUGGGUUGGUUAUGUUUGAAAUUUUACAGGGGGUUUAAUGUAAAAAUAAGUCGAAAUGCUGCCGAAAUUUAAAAAAAAAUGAAUGAAAUCAAUUAGUACAAAUUUAUAACAAUUUAUGAAGUAUUUUAAUAUGUUGGUUAUUUAUUUAGAAUUAUUUGUAAAUUGUUUGAUAUGUCCGGUAAUGCCUCGUAACUCUGUUCCGGCGACGGUUUGGGGUUAGGGGUGUUACAAAUAUGAUAAAAAAAAAUAAAGAUUCGUUAUAACAUUAUAACAAAACCAAGAUAAGACAUUAUCUAGAAAUAGAAUCUGUGUUUAAUUUCUUAUACUUAGAUAUACAUAUUACUCUUUACAAAAGCUAGCUAAGUUAUAUAUUUCGAAGAUUGUAAGACUACAUGAAGUACUAGUAUCAAUUAUUUUAGAUCAAGAUCUCCAUUUUACAUUUCAAAUUUGGAAGAAACUAUAAGAGGCACUAAGUACUUGUUUGGAUUUUAGUACUUCCUUCCAUUCGCAGACUAAUGGACAAUUCAAGCGAGUUAUCUAGAUCUUAGAAGAUAUGCUAAGGGGUUGCUUUAUUGAACUCCAAGGUUGUUAAGAGUAACACUUGCCCCUAGCUGAAUUUGCCUAUAAUAAUAGCUUUCAAUCAAGUAUACAAAUGACAUCUUAUAUAGCCUUGUAUGGUCGUAAGUGCCGAACACCAUUGUGUUGGAUUGAACUAGGUAAAAGGAAAAUUUUGGGUCCUUAAGUGGUAUAAGAGUCCGAGGGAAAAAUUAGAUAAAUUCAGGAUAGACUGAAAGUGGCUUCAGAUAGGCAGAAGUCGUAUACAGACCUAAAGAGAAAGGACAUUAAAUACAGUGUCAGAGAUUAAGUCUUCUUGAAAGUGUUGAGUUUCUGUCGAAAAGGCAAGUUAAGUUCUAGGUUCAUCGAACCUUACAAAAUUCUCAAGAGAGUCAAUUGAGUGGCAUGUCAAUUAGAAUUACCUCCUGAGUUGGACCGUAUUCAUGAUGUAUUUCAUAUUUCCAUGUUGAGACGAUACCGAUUCAACCUUUCCCAUUUUGUUCUAAUCGAAGAGAUCGAUGUGAGGCUAGAUUUGUCUUUUAAGGAGGAACCUAUACAAAUUCUAAGAAGGAAAUGAAUCCCAUUAGUUAAGGUUCUGUAGCGGAACCAUGGCACUAAGGAGGCUAUGUGGGAAUCACAUGACUCAAUCUAUCAACAAUAUCCUCAUCUAUUUGAAUCAGGUAAAUUUCGAGGAUAAAAUUUCUUUAACGAGGGGAGAGUUGUCAUGCCCCGAAAUAUAGGGGGAUCAGUGAAAUGGAUAGACAAGAAUUUAAUUAGGCUUCAUGGUCAAGUGUUAAAGAAUCCUCCCUAGAGACCCAAGUUUGAGCUCCCUUCCUCCCAUUUCCUUCCUUUUAUUUUCGAUAACCUAGGGUAAAAGCCACACCUAAAACAUAUACAGUAAAGAAUUAAAAUUGAACAAGAAAUAUGCUUCAGGCCUAAUGGUUAAGAGUUAGCUUCCCUUCCUUGUGACCCUCGGUUUGAACCACUCCUUCCCCAAAAGUAUUCCUUUCAUUUUCAGCCAAAUUUUGGGAUAUUUAUCGUUGACACCCUAAAAUAGAUAGACAAGAAUUGAAUUAGGCUUCAUGGUAAAGUGUUAGAGAAUCCUCCUUAGAGACCCAAGUUUGAGCUCCUUUCCUCCCAUUUCCUUCCUUUUAUUUUUGGCAACCUAGGGUAAAAGCAACACUUAAAAUAUAUAAAGCCAAGAAUUAAAACUGAACAAGAAAUAGACUUUAGGCCUAAUGGUUAAGAGUUAGCUUCCAUCCCUUGUGACCCUCGGUUCGAGCCACUCAUUCCCCAAAAAUAUCUUUUUAUUUUCGGUCAAAUUUUGGGAUAUUUACUGUUGUCGCCCUAGGGUUUACAAACCCUAGCUAUUUAGUCAUUCCUAUUCCUAUUUUGAUUAGGAUUUUCUCUUUUCAAAAUUUUAAUAAAAUUCCUUGUCAUCCUAAAUUUCUUUUAUUUUCCUCCUCUUUUCUCUCAUAUUUACACCAUAUUUUCAUCCUAAUUUAUGAUAAUUAUUUUGCUUUCUUAAAUCAAAUCAUCAUUCAUUCUAUCAUUCUUUCUAUCGAUUUUAUAAUUGUCGUCAAUAGCAUCCCUACCUUUGCCAAGAAUUGGUAAGUACAUAUUGUUUCCGAUGUUUAGAUCCUGAACUUUCGUAGUAUUAAUAUAUGAUGCUAAUCUUAUGUUCGAUUAAUCAAUUUUUACAGUUACUGCCAAAUCUUCUAUAUUUUUUUAGAGUUUUAUUUCACUCAAUUGAAUCUUUGAUAAUAUGUAUAUUUGGAAUCUAUGAUCUGAGUGGCUGAAAUAUUAUUGUUAUAAGCAUGAUAUGUAAAUAAUACAUGCCUACUGCUACUGUUAAAUUGAAUACAUGUUAAGCAUGUUUAUUGCUACUGUAUUGAUCUGUUAUAAGCAUGUCAUAUUGCAUUGCAUAGGGUGGAGUGAUAUGAACGAAGGAAGAAUGAGCAGUUCAUCUACAACGAUUAGUGGUUCAUCCACAACGUAUUGAUAGCUCGUCUGCAAAUGUUUUUAUCUGAAAACUUUUGUGGUUCAUUCACAAUUUUUAUUACUAAUUGUUCAUCUGCAAUGACUAGUGGUUCAUCCAUAACGAUGAGUGGUUCAUCCAUAACGCGAUGUAUAAGGAUGCAUGAGUUCUAAGAAACUCUUACUGUGGUGUGUAGCGAAGUUAAGUAGAAUAUUUUCUGAAAAAUUAAAACUGCAUCACCAUUCAU